AGUGAACGCUGGCGGUAGGCCUAACACAUGCAAGUCGAACGGCAGCACAGUAAGAGCUUGCUCUUACGGGUGGCGAGUGGCGGACGGGUGGGGAAUACAUCGGAAUCUACUUUUUCGUGGGGGAUAACGUAGGGACACUUACGCUAAUACCGCAUACGACCUACGGGUGAAAGCAGGGGCUCUUCGGACCUUGCGCGAUUGAAUGAGCCGAUGUCGGAUUAGCUAGUUGGCGGGGUAAAGGCCCACCAAGGCGACGAUCCGUAGCUGGUCUGAGAGGAUGAUCAGCCACACUGGAACUGAGACACGGUCCAGACUCCUACGGGAGGCAGCAGUGGGGAAUAUUGGACAAAGGGCGCAAGCCUGAUCCAGCCAUACCGCGUGGGUGAAGAAGGCCUUCGGGUUGUAAAGCCCUUUUGUUGGGAAAGAAAAGCAGCAGGUUAAUACCCCGCUGUUCUGACGGUACCCAAAGAAUAAGCACCGGCUAACUUCGUG
rnacentral:rRNA from 1 species